GACGAACGCUGGCGGCGUGCCUAAUACAUGCAAGUAGAACGCUGAAGGAGGAGCUUGCUUCUCCGGAUGAGUUGCGAACGGGUGAGUAACGCGUAGGUAACCUGCCUGGUAGCGGGGGAUAACUAUUGGAAACGAUAGCUAAUACCGCAUAACAGUAGAUGUUGCAUGACAUUUGCUUAAAAGGUGCAAUUGCAUCACUACCAGAUGGACCUGCGUUGUAUUAGCUAGUUGGUGAGGUAACGGCUCACCAAGGCGACGAUACAUAGCCGACCUGAGAGGGUGAUCGGCCACACUGGGACUGAGACACGGCCCAGACUCCUACGGGAGGCAGCAGUAGGGAAUCUUCGGCAAUGGACGGAAGUCUGACCGAGCAACGCCGCGUGAGUGAAGAAGGUUUUCGGAUCGUAAAGCUCUGUUGUAAGAGAAGAACGAGUGUGAGAGUGGAAAGUUCACACUGUGACGGUAUCUUACCAGAAAGGGACGGCUAACUACGCG
rnacentral:rRNA from 1 species